UUGGGACACAUGAAGCCAGUCCCACCUGCACGGAUGGGCACCUAGGAGUCAGAAGUACGACUGUGGAAAUAAGAUGAAUACAGAGAGGGCGGAGAAGGAAGAGUGGUGGCUGACAGCCAAGGGUGGCAGGGCCAUAUGACACUGGAAACUCAGGAGCAGGGACAUUUGGUAAGGGAGCCAACAUCUACAAGAAGAGCCAGAAAUAUUUGGGGUUUGUAUCUCCCUGAAGAGAGCCCUAACAAAUGACUCCAGCUUCCUUCUCCUUGAGUCAGAUUGCCCCAAGAAGCACCCAUCCCCAGAUGCCUUUACAACCUGCUCUUCCCCAACCGGACUUCUACC